AGGACAAUGACAUUAAAGAUUCCUGUAUCGUAUGGCAUUCGAGGCCCUGGGCAUCUCCUUCAAGAGAGGAGGGCGGAGACUCCAUCCGACCCUCAAAAGCCUCUCUGCACACCAACAUAAAACAUACAGCAACUGGGAAGUCGGGAGCCUUUGCGAGUCUGGAUUUGUGCAGGGAUUCAGCCGGUCGAAGGCGUUCCCAGGAUCGGGACCGCCGCCAUCACAGGCCGGCAGCUUCGUGGAGAGCUGAGGGCCGGGAGGAGACCAAAGUUGGGCAAGUGGCCCCCAAGCAGAGGUAGCACCCCAUAAGUGGUGUUAUAAUUUAUCGUUUGUAAGAUUUAAUAAUAAUAAUAGCAUUUUCUUUAUAUCCCGCCCUCCCCAGCCAACGCCGGGCUCAGAUUUGUCUCGAAGUGCGCUGGAAAUGCGAUCGACUCAACCGAAAACCCACCCACCUCAGACGUAACGGCGGAGGAACAUUUGAUGCCCGUCAGAAGAUGCCCCACUGGGGGGGGGGUGCGUCUUGCCCCCUCCCCAAAUUGCAAACAGCAGAGCCCCCCAAACAGGAAAGAAACACACAACACACCAGACGGAGAAUCGGAGAAUCGCUUCUCAAAGGCCCUUUAUUCCCAGGUCGGCUGUGUGCCCCACGCCUCAAAUCUUGCACGGUGCCCACCGGGCAUUUAUCGGGAAAAAGGCACUUUCUUGUGGGGAGACCGGGGGUGCCUCCUUUUCACGCCAUGGUGGGGGCCGAGGAAGGGGCGGGGUCUCCGCCCCCCCAGGUCUUCCGUUUGGGGCGAGGGCAGCCAGUUCUCUCGCCAGUUCUGAACCCACACUACCCAAGCCCAGGAAAACCCGGCUGGCGUCUUCCUGGGACCCAGCCGGCCCUCAGCCCGGCUCUCUUAAGCCCAAGGAUGCAGGAAGGAGAGAAAAAGCACUCUGCGUGCGCUCAGAGGCCCCUCUGCGAAGCACAUGCCAGGCCCGGGGUUUUCCGCAGAAGUUCACCGGCGGGUUAGAGCGUGGCGCUGGUAACGCCAAGGUUGUGGGUUCAAGCCCCGCACGGGACAGCGGCGUAUUCCUACGUUGCAGCGGGUUGGACUAGAUGACCGUCGGGGUCCCUUGCCACUCUGCAACUCUAUGAAAUCUGCUCCGCUGAGCACCCAGCGGGUGAGGCUGCCGAAGAGCACAGGGCCUUCUCGGUGGUGGCGCCCGCCCUGCAUCCCAUCAGAUGUCAAGGAAAUAAACAACCGUCUGACUUUUAGAAGACGUCUGAAGGGAAGUUUUAUAAUGUCUGGUGUUUUAUUCUGUUUUUCAUCUGUUGGGAGCCACCUAGAGUGGCUGGGGAAACCCAGCUGGAUGGGCACGGUAAAAAUAUAUUAUUAUUA